GCUAAUACCGCAUAAUGCCUACGGGCCAAAGAGGGGGACCUUCGGGCCUCUCGCGUCAAGAUAUGCCUAGGUGGGAUUAGCUAGUUGGUGAGGUAAUGGCUCACCAAGGCGACGAUCCCUAGCUGGUCUGAGAGGAUGAUCAGCCACACUGGAACUGAGACACGGUCCAGACUCCUACGGGAGGCAGCAGUGGGGAAUAUUGCACAAUGGGCGAAAGCCUGAUGCAGCCAUGCCGCGUGUAUGAAGAAGGCCUUCGGGUUGUAAAGUACUUUCAGUUGUGAGGAAGGGGGUGUCGUUAAUAGCGGCAUCUCUUGACGUUAGCUGCAGAAGAAGCACCGGCUAACUCCGUGCCAGCAGCCGCGGUAAUACGGAGGGUGCGAGCGUUAAUCGGAAUUACUGGGCGUAAAGCGCAUGCAGGUGGUUUGUUAAGUCAGAUGUGAAAGCCCGGGGCUCAACCUCGGAACUGCAUUUGAAACUGGCAAACUAGAGUACUGUAGAGGGGGGUAGAAUUUCAGGUGUAGCGGUGAAAUGCGUAGAGAUCUGAAGGAAUACCAGUGGCGAAGGCGGCCCCCUGGA
rnacentral:rRNA from 1 species